GUGUCAGCAGCCGCGGUAAUACGUAGGGACCAAGCGUUGUUCGGAUUUACUGGGCGUAAAGGGCGCGUAGGCGGCGUGGUAAGUCAGCUGUGAAAUCUCCGAGCUUAACUCGGAACGGUCAGCUGAUACUGCUGUGCUAGAGUACAGAAAGGGCAAUCGGAAUUCUUGGUGUAGCGGUGAAAUGCGUAGAUAUCAAGAGGAACACCUGAGGCGAAGGCGGGUUGCUAGGCUGAUACUGACGCUGAGGCGCGAAAGCUAGGGUAGCAAACGGGAUUAGAAACCCUCGUAGUCC
rnacentral:rRNA from 1 species